rnacentral:rRNA from 1 species
GACGUAGGGGGCGAGCGUUGUCCGGAUUUAUUGGGCGUAAAGAGCUCGUAGGCGGCUCGUUGCGUCGGCUGUGAAAACCCGCAGCUCAACUGUGGGCUUGCAGCCGAUACGGGCGGGCUGGAGUUCGGUAGGGGAGACUGGAAUUCCUGGUGUAGCGGUGAAAUGCGCAGAUAUCAGGAGGAACACCGGUGGUGAAGGCGGGUCUCUGGGCCGAUACUGACGCUGAGGGGCGAAAGCGUGGGGAGCGAACAGG